CAUACAUCACAUGUGCCUUUGCGUUUUCCAUACUCUCUUUUCAGAAUGGAGAUGGUGUGGCUGCUCUUAGUGCUGCUUUUUCGUGCAGAAGCUGGGAUGAGACGCGGUGGAGAUCCUACCAAGUGUCCCUCGACCAUCAGUGGCUUCCAGUGCGUGCGUUUGCUGUUCUACGAUAACUGUGAAACCAACGAAGAUUGCAAGCAUCUCUGUUGUCGCAAUGAUUGCAGGAACUUUUGUUCUGAAACGUUUACAAAUAUGACCUCGGGUUAGUGUAUAGUUUACGUGUCUGCUGAUAAUUCUGUUCAUCGUAAUCAUGAUCAAUGUGUCACACUGCUGUCGCUGUGCUGUGGGGGUUACGAGCCUCGUCAGUGACGUAUCCCUUUCGCUCCUAACCUCCACUUCCUGUUCCUCCGGAAAUGAAUCAAUGAAACAAAUAAAAAAAAUAUAAAAAGUA